AACAUAAUAGAGGAUUGAAUUCUUUGAAGAAAAAGAUUACUUAAUCAAAUCAAUUAUUAAUUCAUCAAAUCUACCUUUUUAUUAACCUACUAGCUAACUUGAUGGAAAAAAGUAAGAUUAAAACAAAUUAUUAAAAAAAUAAUAACGAAAAAUAAAGAGGACCUUCCUUGCAUCUGCAAUGAGAAGCAACUUAAAGCUUUUCCUUUUUGAAAAAUUCGGAGCUUUCCACUUGUAUCACCAUAUUAAUUUGUUGCUAGUGACACUAUAUUAAAUCACUACAAUGUUCAAUUCUUUACUUAAACUGCCCAUGAAAUUAUCUAAUUCUUCCUUAACAAACAUAUCUGCAACUUCAAAAAUAGGAAAAAAAAAAUUAGUACAAACAUGUCAAUUGAGAAUCUAGCCACAAAAUGUCCAAAAAUUAAAAAGAAAAAAAAAAGAUUUUUUUUAAAGAUGUGACAUAAAUCGCUAUAUCUAUUAAUUAACAUCUAAAUCACUAAAUUAAACAUUAAUUGAAAUAUAAUCACCAUAUAAUUAUUUGAAUGCGCAACAAUUUUUUGAACAAGAUACGCCUAUUUAUGUGCAUAAACAAUAAAAGGAAAAAAAUAAAAAUGAUACAAAAAAAUAACGAGUACUUGUAUACUUAGUAAAAUCUAAUAAGUUGUUCAAAUAGCCUUUUUUGAAUGAAUAUAUAAAAUAGUAUACAGUCGAUCACAAAAACAUAUCUAAAUUAUUAACAAGGAGAGACAUACCUUUGACAACUCAAAA
rnacentral:lncRNA from 1 species